AGCGGCUGGGACUUCGGAUGGAUCGGGCGUCGGCAGCCGCUCUGGCAUCACAGGACCCUUUAGCUGGUCGUCAUCUUCCCACCGAAUGAGGAUAAAGUGGUUUACAUUUUUUACCAAAAAAUAGAAGUGUUCCUUAGCAUUGGGGAUGAUGAUUAUGAUGCAGGCUGCCAAACUGAGGGCCUCCGUGCCAGGUGCUUCCUGUGCAUUAUCUCCAGUCCCCACAAAGAUCUCGCAAGAAAUAGAAAAGUUUCAGAAAGGAGAAGGCAAGGACGAAGAAAAGUACAUCGAUGUGGUGAUUAAUAAGAACAUGAAGCUGGGACAGAAAGUGUUAAUUCCUGUAAAGCAGUUCCCUAAGUUCAACUUUGUGGGGAAACUUUUGGGUCCCCGUGGCAAUUCUCUGAAGCGCUUACAAGAAGAAACCUUGACAAAAAUGUCCAUCCUUGGAAAAGGUUCCAUGCGAGACAAGGCAAAGGAGGAAGAGUUGAGGAAGAGUGGGGAAGCAAAAUACUUUCACCUCAACGACGACCUCCACGUUCUCAUCGAAGUGUUCGCUCCACCAGCAGAAGCAUAUGCCCGGAUGGGACACGCACUGGAAGAAAUCAAAAAGUUCCUCAUUCCUGACUAUAAUGAUGAAAUCAGGCAAGCACAGCUCCAAGAGUUGACGUAUUUGAAUGGUGGUUCAGAAAACGCGGACGUCCCAGUUGUUCGAGGAAAACCCACCUUGCGUACAAGAGGUGUACCAGCCCCAGCAGUAACCAGGGGAAGGGGAGGAGUCACAGCCCGGCCAGUUGGAGUUGGUGUACCACGAGGGACGCCGGCUUCCAGAGGAGUCCUUUCCACCCGAGGGCCAGUGAGUCGGGGAAGAGGGCUUCUCACUCCCAGAGCAAGAGGAGUGCCCCCAACUGGGUACAGACCUCCGCCGCCACCCCCAACACAAGAGACCUACGGAGAUUAUGACUAUGAUGAUGGUUAUGGCACUGCUUAUGACGAACAGAGUUAUGAUUCCUAUGAUAACAGCUAUAGCACCCCUGCCCAAAGUGGUGCUGAUUACUAUGAUUACGGACAUGGACUCAGUGAAGAGACGUACGAUUCCUACGGGCAAGAGGACUGGACUAACUCAAGACACAAGGCACCUUCAGCGAGGACAGCAAAGGGCGUCUACAGAGACCAGCCAUAUGGCAGAUACUGAUUGUACUGUCUGAUGUUGUGAAAUAGCCAAUCUCCACCAGUCCUGUAUACUGUUCAAAGAAAUGUCAGCCAUCUUGGGAAGUCAAAGGAACUGGUUGUGCCCGGGGAGCAAACAAAGAACCCAUAGCCCCCCUGGCCUGUAAAAAGGGAUUGUGAGCCAGAAAGAUCUGGAACCACCAGGAAUGCUAUCGGACAAGAAGCCUCCUGCUUGGCCUCAAGGGCUUCCUGUACUUGGCACGUACCUGCCAAGCCUUCUCUCUCCCUGUUCCUCUGAAGUAAUUUGGAGGGCGAUGGAAGGGGUGGACUAUAACCAUACGUGCUGGCCCCCGCUCCUUCGCCCACGGAAACCAGGCCCGUUCUCCAGGACGUGGCCUGGUGCCCUCCCUUCUGUGGCCACCAUCCCUCGGCCCUCUCUGGAUUCGGUUGGUACUUCUUCGUUUCAGCGUUGAUGUCACAGGACUUAGAUUGGCUACAAGUUGCUGUUGCGACCACACACGAGCUUAUCACUCUCAGGACUUUCCUUCAAGUUGUGGACUGCUGACGAAUUGUCAACUCACCAACGUGCCUAGUCAGUAAAUGAAUUCGCUUGGGAGCUUGAAAAUCGUCUUAAUUUUUUGUUUCACAAUUUUAUGUCCUGUGAAAUGUUUUUAUAAAAUGGUACGCCUUUUUUAAUUUGGAAAGCCUGUUUUAAAAAAGGGAAGGGAAAUCCCGUCUUAUUUUGUGGUCUCCCAACAACGAACGAACAAAUGAUCUGUGUAUCACUUAAUAAAGGCUGUCCGUUUCA